GAAGUGAAGCGUGGUUACACUCACUCAGUGGCAGUUUCGGCAGCAGGUGCGGCCUCGGUGCGCGGCGGCUCCAAAGUGGGGACGGCAGCAGCAGAUUUGGCGGGAGUGGAGGUUGGAGACACGUUAUUGAAAAUGGCCGAUCGUUUCGCUAGAUAAGACCCUUAUUCCUCAGCUGGGAUCGUGUAGAGCUCUUUGAAGCUGCACUGAAACUGCAAUUUGGACCUUCAACCCGUUGAACCCCAGUGAAGUCCACUAUAUGGAGAAAAAUCCUGAAUUGUUUUCUUCAAAAACUUGAUUCCUUUUUGACUGAAGAAAGAAAGACAUACACAUCUCGGAUGGCUUGGGUUCCAGACCACACCACCCACAUAAAGACACUUCAGGAAUUGCAACUAGCAGCAAGCAACCUCACUGAGUAGAAGCCAUGCAUAUACACUACGCCUCGGCCUGUGGUGUGGUGCUGAAGUGGACAGCGCCAGGUCUGAGUGAGACUGGACGCGUCGAGGAAUGAGGAUGUUUUUCUCUCACUGUCUCCCUGUGUCUGCGUCUCCCUUCGCUGCCUUUAUGUGUCUGUCCUCACGUGGCAAGCAGCCCAGAGGAAACAUCUCAUGGAUUGUGGGAAAGUGGAGAUAAUGCAUGUGACAGAGACGACUGACUUGUAAACAGAGUCUGUGGGCACAGGUGAGACGACACACAAACUGUCAAACACAGAACUGUGCAACUUUUGACAUACAUAUUUUUGAUGGUGUGAAAUUUGGUCAGUUAACCUUAGAAGCCUAAUGGAGGUUAUAUGCAAAAAACGUAUGUAUUCUGUAAAGCAAUCGCUUCUGGUUCAGGUCUUUUGUAUGUGCUUCGUUAAAUAUAAAAUGGUUUUGCUCAAGAUGCCUUCAAAGAGCGAGUAAAGAUGAGAUUGAUAUUAAAAUAUUUAU